AUACUUACCUGGCAGGGGUGAUACCAUGAUCACUUAGGUGGUUUUCUCAGGGUGAAGCUCAUCCAUUGCACUCUGGGUGUGCUAACCCCUAUGGUGUCCCCAAAUGCAGCAAACUUGGCUGCAAAAUUUGUGGUAGUUGGGGACUGCAUCCACUCUCCCUCCUG